rnacentral:rRNA from 2 species
AAGCCGGUUGUGAAAGCCCUGGGCUCAACCUGGGAACUGCAUCCGGAACUGUCAGGCUAGAGUGCAGGAGAGGAAGGUAGAAUUCCCGGUGUAGCGGUGAAAUGCGUAGAGAUCGGGAGGAAUACCAGUGGCGAAGGCGGCCUUCUGGACUGACACUGACGCUGAGGUGCGAAAGCGUGGGUAGCAAACAGGAUUAGAUACCCUGGUAGUCCACGCCGUAAACGAUGUCGACCAGCCGUUGGGUGCCUUGAGCACUUUGUGGCGAAGUUAACGCGAUAAGUCGACCGCCUGGGGAGUACGGCCGCAAGGUUAAAACUCAAAUGAAUUGACGGGGGCCCGCACAAGCGGUGGAGCAUGUGGUUUAAUUCGAUGCAACGCGAAGAACCUUACCUACCCUUGACAUCCUGCGAAGCCGGAAGAGAUUCUGGUGUGCCUUCGGGAGCGCAGAGACAGGUGCUGCAUGGCUGUCGUCAGCUCGUGUUGUGAAAUGUUGGGUUAAGUCCCGUAACGAGCGCAACCCUUGUCCUUAUUUGCCAGCGGGUCAUGCCGGGAACUCUAAGGAGACUGCCGGUGACAAACCGGAGGAAGGUGGGGACGACGUCAAGUCAUCAUGGCCCUUACGGGUAGGGCUACACACGUGCUACAAUGGCCGGUACAAAGGGUUGCGAGCUCGCGAGAGUCAGCGAAUCCCAGAAAGCCGGUCUCAGUCCGGAUCGGAGUCUGCAACUCGACUCCGUGAAGUCGGAAUCGCUAGUAAUCGUGAAUCAGAAUGUCACGGUGAAUACGUUCCCGGGCCUUGUACACACCGCCCGUCACACCAUGGGAGUGGACUGCACCAGAAGUGGUUAGCCUAACGCAAGAGGGCGAUCACCACGGUGUGGUUCAUGACUGGGGUGAAGUCGUAACAAGGUAGCCGUAGGGGAACCUGCGGCUGGAUCACCUCCUUAAACGA